rnacentral:rRNA from 1 species
GCACCUUCCGAUACGGCUACCUUGUUACGACUUUACCCCAGUCAUGAACCCUGCCGUGGCAGUCGCCCUCCUUGCGGUUAGGCUAACGGCUUCUGGCAAAACCCACUCCCAUGGUAUGACGGGCGGUGUGUACAAGACCCGGGAACGUAUUCACCGCGACAUUCUGAUCCGCGAUUACUAGCGAUUCCAGCUUCACGUAGUCGAGUUGCAGACUACGAUCCGGACUACGAUGCAUUUUCUGAGAUUAGCUCCCCCUCGCGGGUUGGCAACCCUCUGUAUGCACCAUUGUAUGACGUGUGAAGCCCUACCCAUAAGGGCCAUGAGGACUUGACGUCAUCCCCACCUUCCUCCGGUUUGUCACCGGCAGUCUCUUUAGAGUGCUCUUGCGUAGCAACUAAAGACAAGGGUUGCGCUCGUUGCGGGACUUAACCCAACAUCUCACGACACGAGCUGACGACAGCCAUGCAGCACCUGUGUUCACUUUCCCUUACGGGCACCUAAUGUAUCUCUACUUCGUUAGUGACAUGUCAAGGGUAGGUAAGGUUUUUCGCGUUGCAUCGAAUUAAUCCACAUCAUCCACCGCUUGUGCGGGUCCCCGUCAAUUCCUUUGAGUUUAAUCUUGCGACCGUACUCCCAGCGGCUGACUUCACGCGUUAGCUACGUUACUCAGGAUGAAAA